rnacentral:rRNA from 1 species
CCUACGGGUGGCUGCAGUGGGGAAUAUUGCACAAUGGAGGGAACUCUGAUGCAGCAACGCCGCGUGAGUGAAGAAGGUUUUCGGAUCGUAAAACUCUGUCAUUGGGGAAGAAUAAAUGACGGUACCCAAUGAGGAAGCCCCGGCUAACUACGUGCCAGCAGCCGCGGUAAUACGUAGGGGGCGAGCGUUGUCCGGAAUUACUGGGCGUAAAGGGUACGUAGGCGGCUAUAUAAGUCAGAUGUGAAAUUCCGGGGCUCAACCCCGGCGCUGCAUCUGAAACUGUGUCUCUUGAGUGCUGGAGAGGAAAGCGGAAUUCCUAGUGUAGCGGUGAAAUGCGUAGAUAUUAGGAGGAACACCAGUGGCGAAGGCGGCUUUCUGGACAGUAACUGACGCUGAGGCGCGAAAGCGUGGGUAGCGAACAGGAUUAGAUACCCGGGUAGUC